CUGGCGGCGUGCCUAACACAUGCAAGUCGAACGAGAAAGUGGAGCAAUCCAUGAGUAAAGUGGCGACCGGGUGAGUAACACGUGACUAACCUGCCUUCGAGUGGGGGAUAACCUCGGGAAACCGGGGCUAAUACCGCAUAAUGCCUUCGGGUUAAAGAAGCAAUUCGCUUGAAGAGGGGGUCGCGGCUGAUUAGCUAGUUGGUGAGGUAACGGCUCACCAAGGCGAUGAUCGGUAGCCGGCCUGAGAGGGCGCACGGCCGCACUGGAACUGAAACACGGUCCAGACUCCUACGGGAGGCAGCAGUGGGGAAUUUUGCGCAAUGGGGGAAACCCUGACGCAGCAACGCCACGUGGAGGAUGAAGUCCCUUGGGACGUAAACUCCUUUCGACCGGGACGAUGAUGACGGUACCGGUGGAAGAAGCCCCGGCUAACUUCGUGCCAGCAGCCGCGGUAAUACGAGGGGGGCAAGCGUUGUUCGGAAUUAUUGGGCAUAAAGGGCGCGUANGCGGUGCGGUAAGUCACCUGUGAAACCUCUGGGCU
rnacentral:rRNA from 1 species